rnacentral:SRP_RNA from 1 species
UCGUUAUGGUGACCCCAUCGGUCCCCCCGCAACGAUUACCCGUGAACCUGGUCAGAGCCGGAAGGCAGCAGCCACAGCGGGAACAUUGUGUGCCGGGGUGUGGCUGGUGGGGUUACCACCUUAACGA